rnacentral:rRNA from 1 species
AGCGAACGCUGGCGGCAGGCCUAACACUUGCAAGUCGAGCGGCCGUAGCAAUACGGCAGCGGCAGACGGGAGAGUAACACGUGGGAACGCGCCCUUCGGUCUGGAAUGACCCAGGGAAACUUGGGCUAAUACCGGAUACGCCCUUACGGGGAAAGAUUGAUUGCCGAAGGAACGGCCCGCGUCCGAUUAGCUAGUUGGUGAGGUAACGGCUCACCAAGGCGACGAUCGGUAGCUGGUCUGAGAGGAUGACCAGCCUCACUGGGACUGAGACACGGCCCAGACUCCUGCGGGAGGCAGCAGUGGGGAAUAUUGGACAAUGGGCGCAAGCCUGAUCCAGCCAUGCCGCGUGGGUGAUGAAGGCCCUAGGGUUGUAAAGCCCUUUCAGCGGGGAAGAUAAUGACGGUACCCGCAGAAGAAGCCCCGGCUAACUUCGUGCCAGCCGCCGCGGUAACAC